rnacentral:lncRNA from 1 species
AUCGAAAUAUUCAUGAUCUUUCUCGGAUCAAAGUGGCCAUGAUCUUUCUCGGAUCAAAUCAUUCAUGAUCUUUCUCAGAUCAGAUUCUUCCACAUAUAAGCCUGUGGGGGCUGUCCCAGGCAUAAGCUCCUGGCAGGCUAUUCCACAUGACAAGGCCAGUCCAAACCAUAUUUCUCUUUCUUUUCAUUUUUAUGAAAUUAUAAUAAUUGACUUCAUUAAUCAAUUCAAAUUUUGCAGUGUAAUAAAUAUGUCAUACCCAUAUAAUCAUGCCAUCAAUCGCUGAUACAUAUGUAUUGAUAUAACAUACUCAUGCUCAAAAUCACAUAAAUAAAUAAC